UACGUAGGGUGCAAGCGUUAAUCGGAAUUACUGGGCGUAAAGCGUGCGCAGGCGGUUUUGUAAGACGGAUGUGAAAUCCCCGGGCUCAACCUGGGAACUGCAUUCGUGACUGCAAGGCUAGAGUGUGUCAGAGGGAGGUGGAAUUCCGCGUGUAGCAGUGAAAUGCGUAGAGAUGCGGAGGAACACCGAUGGCGAAGGCAGCCUCCUGGGAUAACACUGACGCUCAUGCACGAAAGCGUGGGGAGCAAACAGG
rnacentral:rRNA from 1 species